GAAAUUACCUGGCAGGGGAAAUGCGACCAUCACAAAAGUGAUUUUCCCAGAGCAAGUCUCAUUCGUUGCAUUCCAAGUCUGUUGACCUCUACAAUUUACCCAAAUGUGGAAAAAUUGUUUGUAUAAUUUGUGAUAUAGGAACUGCAUUUGUACUCUACAAU